UUUGGGAGCCCGGGCCGGUGGCGCGGGCGCUCGGCAAAUGGAGUGGGUGCUCGCGGAAGCGCUGCUCUCGCAGAGCCGGGACCCCCGGGCCCUGCUUGGGGCGCUGUGCCAAGGGGAGGCAUCCGCGGAGCGCGUGGAGACGCUGCGCUUCCUUCUGCAGCGGCUCGAGGACGAGGAGGCGCGCGGCGGCGGGGGCGCAGGCGCGCUCCCGGAGGCGGCGCGCGAGGUGGCCGCAGGGUACCUCGUGCCACUGCUGCGGAGCCUGCGCGGGCGCCCAGCGGACGGCCCGGACCCCGGUCUGCAGCCUCGCCACCGCCGGCGCGUGCUGAGGGCGGCGGGCGCGGCCCUCCGCUCGUGCGCCCGCCUGGCUGGGGGUCCGCAGCUGGCGGCCGCCCUGGCAGAGGAAGCGCUGCGCGAUCUGCUCGCCGGGUGGCGCGCGUCUGGCGCCGAGGCUGCGGUGGAGGUGCUGGCGGCGGUCGGGCCCUGUUUGCGGCCACGCGAGGACGGGCCGCUGCUGGAGCGCGUGGCAGGGGCCGCCGUCGCCCUGGCGCUAGGCGGGGGCGGGGACGGGGAUGAGGCCGGGCCCGCCGAGGACGCAGCGGCGCUGGUGGCCGGGCGACUGCUGCCAGUGCUGGUCCAAUGCGGCGGGGCGGCGCUGCGGGCCGUGUGGGGCGGGCUGGCGGCUCCCGGGACGUCCCCGGGGUCGGGCCGCGUAGAGGAGAAACUGUUGGUCCUGAGCGCCCUGGCGGAGAAGCUGCUACCCGAACCCGGCGGCGAUCGCCCCCGCAGCGCGCGCGAGGCGGGCCCGGACGCCCGGCGCUGCUGGCGCUUCUGGAGGACCGUGCAGGCGGGCCUGGGCCAGGCGGACGCCCUGACGCGCAAGCGAGCGCGCUACCUACUGCAGAGGGCGGUAGAGGUGUCGGCGGAGCUGGGGACCGACUGCACUUGCGGGCCCCAGGAAGGAAACGGCCCAAGUCUGUUUUGGUGGUCUGAGAAGAAAAAAGAUGAACUUCUAAAGUUUUGGGAAAAUUAUAUUUUAAUUAUGGAGACUUUAGAAGGAAAUCAGAUACAUGUUAUAAAGCCAGUUUUACCAAAGCUAAACAAUCUGUUUGAAUAUGCGGUGUCAGAGGAAAAUGGAUGCUGGCUCUUUCACCCAUCCUGGCAUAUGUGUAUUUAUAAAAGAAUGUUUGAAAGUGAAAACAAAAUCCUGACUAAAGAAGGUGUUAUCCAUUUUUUGGAGCUGUAUGAAACAAAGAUUCUUCCAUUUUCACCAGAAUUUUCUGAGUUUAUUAUUGGACCAUUAAUGGAUGCACUUUCAGAGAGCUCUUUGUAUAGCAGGUCCCCAGGCCAGCCGAUAGGAAGCUGUUCUCCAUUGGGACUGAAAUUACAGAAGUUUUUAGUCACGUAUAUUUCUCUUCUUCCAGGAGACAUAAAGAGUAACUUCCUAUUGAAGUUUAUUCGGAAGAUGACAAGUAGGCAUUGGUGUGCUGUUCCCAUUUUAUUUCUAUCUAAGGCUUUGGCAAAUGUCCCAAAAUAUAAGGCCCUGGGUAUAGAUGGGCUUCUUGCUCUCAGGGAUGUUAUUCAUUGCACUAUGAUCACACAUCAGAUUCUCCUGAGAGGGGCAGCCCAAUGCUACCUUCUUCAAACAGCUAUGAAUUUGCUAGAUGUGGAGAAAGUGUCACUUUCUGAUGUCUCAACUUUUCUCAUGUCUCUGAGACAAGAGGAGUCCUUAGGACGAGGAACUUCAUUGUGGACAGAGCUGUGUGACUGGCUACGUGUUAAUGAAAGCUAUUUUAAGCCAUCCCCAAUGUGUAGCUCCAUUGGACUUCACAAGACGUCUUUAAAUGCUUAUGUGAAGAGCCUUAUUCAAGAGUAUGUUAAGUCAUCUGCUUGGGAAACAGGAGAAAACUGCUUUAUGCCUGAUUGGUUUGAAGCCAAGCUUGUUUCUCUGAUGAUCUUGCUGGCUGUGGAUGUGGAAGGAAUGAAGACUCAAUAUAGUGGAAAGCAGAAAACAGAGAAUGUAUUGCGGAUAUUCUUAGAUCCUCUUCUGGAUGUGCUUAUGAAGUUUGGUACCAAUGCCUACAUGCCCUUGCUGAAGACUGACAGAUGCCUCCAGUUGCUGUUGAAGCUGUUGAACACAUGCAGGUUGAAAGGUUCCAGUGCCCAAGAUGAUGAGGUGUUUACUGUUCUGCAGAACUUUGUCAUGUCUACUACAGAGAGCAUUUCUGAAUUUAUUCUCAGACGACUUACUAUGAAUGAGCUAAAUAGUGUUUCAGAUCUGGACCGUUGCCAUUUAUACCUGAUGGUGUUAACCGAGCUUAUAAAUCUGCAUUUGAAGGUUGGGUGGAAAAGAGGUAACCCUAUUUGGAGAGUUAUUUCUCUUUUGAAAAAUGCGUCCAUUCAGCAUCUUCAAGAGAUGGACAGUGGACAGGAGCCAACACUUGGAAGUCAGAUUCAGAGAGUAGUGAGCAUGGCUGCCUUGGCCAUGGUGUGUGAGGCCAUAGACCAGAAGCCUGAGCUGCAGCUGGACUCUCUCCAUGCUGGGCCCCUGGAAAGCUUCCUUUCCUCUCUUCAGCUCAAUCAGACGCUGCAGAAGCCCCAUGCAGAGGAGCAGAGCAGUUAUGCUCCCCCCUCGGAGUGUACCAGUGUUUUAGAAGAAUUGUCAUCUUCCCAAGGAUGGGGAAAAAUAGUUGCACAAUAUAUUCAUGAUCAAUGGGUGUGCCUCUCUUUCCUGUUGAAAAAAUAUCACACCCUUAUACCAAGCACAGGGAGUGAAAUUCUGGAACCGCUUCUGCCUGCCGUUCAGAUGCCAAUCAGGACUUUGCAGUCUGCACUAGAAGCCCUCACCGUUCUUUCUUCUGAUCAAGUUUUACCAGUGUUCCAUUGCUUGAAAGUGUUGGUUCCCAAGCUUCUGACCUCCUCUGAAUCACUCUGCAUAGAGGCUUUUGACAUGGCUUGGAAAAUUAUAUCUUCUUUAAGCAACACUCAGCUGAUAUUCUGGCCUAAUUUAAAAGCUUUUGUUCAGUUUGUGUUUGAUAACAAAGUUCUCACCAUUGCUGCCAAAAUCAAGGGCCAGGCAUAUUUCAAAAUAAAAGAGAUUAUGUACAAGAUAAUUGAAAUGUCUGCUAUAAAGACUGGAGUCUUCAAUACACUGAUAAGUUACUGCUGUCAGUCUUGGAUAGUGUCUGCUUCAAAUGUGUCCCAAGGAUCUUUAUCAAGUGCUAAAAAUUAUAGCGAACUUAUCCUUGAGGCUUGUAUAUUUGGAACUGUGUUUAGGCGUGAUCAAAGACUUGUUCAGGAUGUACAGACCUUCAUAGAAAACCUUGGACAUGACUGUGCGGCAAAUAUUGUUAUGGAAAAUACUAAGAGAGAAGACCAUUAUGUGAGAAUUUGUGCCAUCAAAUUCCUGUGUUUAUUAGAUGGCUCCAAUAUGUCCCAUAAGUUGUUUAUGGAAGAUCUUGCAAUCAAGCUAUUAGAUAAAGAUGAAUUCGUGUCCAAGUCCAAAAAACGCUACUAUGUGAAUUCUCUGCAGCACAGAGUGAAAAACCGCGUCUGGCAGACUCUGCUUGUACUUUUCCCUAGACUCGAUCAGAAUUUCUUGAAUGGAAUUAUUGACAGGAUUUUCCAGGCUGGUUUCACCAACAAUCAAGCAUCCAUAAAAUAUUUUAUAGAAUGGAUUAUUAUAUUGAUUCUUCACAAAUUCCCUCAAUUUCUUCCAAAGUUCUGGGAUUGUUUUUCUUAUGGUGAAGAAAAUCUUAAAACAAGCAUUUGUACAUUUCUAGCAGUUUUAUCACAUUUGGACGUUGUUACUCAAAACAUUCCAGAAAAGAAACUAAUUCUGAAGCAAGCCCUUAUUGUUGUGCUGCAGUGGUGCUUCAAUCACAAUUUUAGUGUUCGACUGUAUGCUUUAGUCGCUCUUAAGAAACUCUGGACUGUGUGUAAAGUGUUAAGUGUUGAAGAAUUUGAUGCCCUGGCUCCUGUGAUUGAAUCCAGCCUCCAUCAAGUGGAAAGCAUGCACGGGGCAGGGAAUGCCAAGAAGAAUUGGCAGCGCAUUCAAGAGCAUUUCUUUUUUGCAACAUUUCACCCACUCAAGGAUUAUUGUCUAGAGGCAGUGUCUGGCUUGUAAACAUGGAAGGGAAUAUUUAACUAAACAGAAAUCUGUUCUGACAUUAAAAGGAAAUGAGUGAGAACAUUUGUGCAGACCAUAUUUUACAUCCUUCCACGCCUUUCAGGCCUUAUUGAAGAUGAGUGGAUCACCAUUGAUAAAUUUACCAGAUUCACUGAUGUUCCUUUAGAUGCGGGAUUUCAGUGGUACCUUUCUCAAACUCAACUUAGUAAACUAAAACCAGGUGACUGGUCUCAGCAGGACAUAGGUACUAAUUUGGUCGAAGCAGAUAACCAAGCAGAGUGGACUGACGUUCAGAAGAAGAUUAUCCCGUGGAACAAUCGUGUGCCCGACUUAGACCUGGAGCUCCUGUUUCAGGAUCGUGCUGCCAGACUUGGAAAGUCAAUUAGUAGACUCAUCGUCGUGGCCUCGCUCAUCGACAAACCAACCAAUUUAGGAGGACUGUGCAGGACCUGUGAGGUAUUUGGGGCUUCGGCGCUCGUUGUUGGCAGCCUUCAAUGUAUCAGCGACAAACAGUUCCAGCACCUCAGUGUCUCCGCGGAACAGUGGCUUCCUCUAGUGGAGGUAAAACCACCUCACCUAAUUGAUUAUCUGCAGCAGAAGAAAACAGAAGGUUAUACCAUCAUUGGAGUGGAACAAACUGCCAAAAGUUUAGACCUAACCCAAUAUUGCUUUCCUGAGAAAUCGCUACUCUUGUUGGGAAAUGAACGUGAGGGAAUUCCAGCAAAUCUGAUCCAGCAGUUGGACGUUUGUGUGGAAAUUCCUCAACAGGGCAUUAUCCGCUCCCUGAAUGUCCACGUGAGUGGCGCCCUGCUGAUCUGGGAGUACACCAGGCAGCAGCUACUCUCACAGGGAGACACCAAGCCAUGAUGUGCCUUCCUCAGUGAAGUGCUGGUGCUGUUCAGACUUUUUUUAAAAAAACUAUUUGGACUAAAGAAACAGAUUCUGAAAUUUACUGUGAUAAUUUGUAUUUUUUCUUGCAAUUUAAUGCCAAAAGUUUACCAUGUGCCUUAAACAUAUUACUAUAUAUUUUCCCCUUUAAUAAACACUUUUUGUUAAAUUGUAUUCUUCCAUUAAUAAAAUAAGCAGUUGUGGAAA